rnacentral:rRNA from 1 species
GGGGAAAAGCUUGCUUUUCCGCCGGCGACCGGCGCACGGGUGCGGAACGCGUAUGGAACCUGCCCCUGUCAGGGGAAUAGCCCAGGGAAACUUGGAUUAAUGCCCCAUGGUACCAAUAUAUCGCAUGAUAUUUUGGUUAAAGAUUUAUCGGACAGGGAUGGCCAUGCGUACCAUUAGUUAGAUGGUGAGGUAACGGCUCACCAUGGCAGCGAUGGUUAGGGGCCCUGAGAGGGGGAUCCCCCACACUGGUACUGAGACACGGACCAGACUCCUACGGGAGGCAGCAGUGAGGAAUAUUGGACAAUGGUCGGGAGACUGAUCCAGCCAUGCCGCGUGCAGGAUGACUGCCCUAUGGGUUGUAAACUGCUUUUAUACGGGAAGAAACCCACCUACGUGUAGGUGGCUGACGGUACCGUAAGAAUAAGGACCGGCUAACUCCGUGCCAGCAGCCGCGGUAAUACGGAGGGUCCGAGCGUUAUCCGGAAUCAUUGGGUUUAAAGGGUCCGUAGGCGGGCCGUUAAGUCAGGGGUGAAAGUCUGCGGCUCAACCGUAGAAUUGCCUUUGAUACUGGCGGUCUUGAGUCAUGGUGGGGUUGCCGGAACAUGUGGUGUAGCGGUGAAAUGCAUAGAUAUCACAUAGAACACCGAUCGCGAAGGCAGGUGACCAACCAUGUACUGACGCUGAUGGACGAAAGCGUGGGUAGCGAACGGGAUUAGAUACCCCGGUAGUCCACGCCGUAAA